GGCAGAAGUCAUCUGUCCCUCUUUUUAUGAAACUAUUCUAUCUUUGUUUACCACCAUAAGAAUUCUUGACCAGGCGCAGUGGCUCACACCUGUAAUCCCAGCACUUUGAGAGGCCAAGGCAGGAAGAUCCCCUGAGGUCAGAAGUUCGAGACCAGGUGCAGUGGAACGUGUCUGUAGUUCCUACUCGAGAGGCUGAGGCAGGAGGAUCACCUGAGCCCAACCUGGGUGACAGAGUAAGACUCCAGGUUAUUUUUCAAAGUUGCAGACAUUUAUGCAUAAGGAUUAGCCUGACUAAGAUUCUUGCUCACAGACACAGAGAGUGGAACAAAAAGAGUCAUCCAAAGGGAGCAGGCCUUUGGUGACAUACCAAACACUGAGGAACUGACCAGAGCUAUGAGAUGAGGCCCUGACUGCAGAGAUCAAAGGUGAGGUGAGGUGGAUGUUUGAGGCAGAAUUCUUCGUGCUGCUGGGCUAUAGUCUGGACUGUGGUUUGGGAAAAUAAGGGAAGCAUCAGAGGAGGCUGAGGAUUAUAGAAAGGAAAGGAAGAAAGGGGUUGAGAGGAGGUCUGCUCCUUUCAAGGCAUUUCCAAGAUGGCAGAGGGGAUGAUUCACUCACCCAGCAUCAGCACCAUGCAUAUGGUAGGUUCCCGAAAUCAUGACAUUAUCAUAAGAUAUCAUCAUAACUUGUACUCCUCUUGGAUCUUGCAGACAGACCAAAUAGGAAAUUAUGCUGUAUUUAGAGAACAAUGGAAAAAAAAAAAAAAAAGACAGCCUGGAGAUUUGUAUUGAAAAGUCCUGGAAAUAAAUGUGCAUAGACUGCAUGAGGUAGUGAAGUGCUGGUGGCUAGAGGUGAUGGGAAGGGGACAGAAUAAGGUGGUUGGGGAGAUCAUUUCUAUAUUAUCCAGCAGGAGACUGGAUUUUGAUGAUCCUUUUCCAUUGCAACACUCAAAGCUCAAUGGAAAACCAUCAAAAGUUUUGAGCCAAGAGUAAUGUGAUUUUUUUAAAAUGAUGUGUUAUAUCAGAAAGUUCUGUGAAAGGUUUUGUAAACUAAGAAGUUUUCAGUACCAAAUGAAAGAAUUAGAGGCACCCUGAGAUAUCAGAAGACCAGGAUGGAGAAUUAUUACUCCAAAUGAAAUUUGAUUUGACAAAAACAGUGUAAGAAAAUAGCAUUUGCAAGAUUUGUAACAGCUAUCAAAGUCUCCAAGAUAAGAACUUUCCUUAGGACUAACAUCUUUAAUGAUAAGUAGAUAAAGGCUUCUACCUCAGUAAUUAAAAUAAG
rnacentral:lncRNA from 10 species